rnacentral:rRNA from 1 species
GGGGCUGAAGUAGGUCCCAAGGGUAUGGCUGUUCGCCAUUUAAAGUGGUACGCGAGCUGGGUUUAGAACGUCGUGAGACAGUUCGGUCCCUAUCUGCCGUGGGCGCUGGAGAAUUGAGGGGGGCUGCUCCUAGUACGAGAGGACCGGAGUGGACGCAUCACUGGUGUUCGGGUUGUCAUGCCAAUGGCACUGCCCGGUAGCUAAAUGCGGAAGAGAUAAGUGCUGAAAGCAUCUAAGCACGAAACUUGCCCCGAGAUGAGUUCUCCCUGACUCCUUGAGAGUCCUGAAGGAACGUUGAAGACGACGACGUUGAUAGGCCGGGUGUGUAAGCGCAGCGAUGCGUUGAGCUAACCGGUACUAAUGAACCGUGAGGCUUAACCUU